UGGGGAAUCUUGCACAAUGGGGGCAACCCUGAUGCAGCGACGCCGCGUGAGCGGUGAAGCCCUUCGGGGCGUAAAGCUCUUUCGACCGGAACGAUAAUGACGGUACCGGGAGAAGAAGCUGCGGCUAACUACGUGCCAGCAGCCGCGGUAAUACGUAGGCAGCAAGCGUUGUUCGGAGUUAUUGGGCGUAACGAGUGCGUAGGCGGUUUUCUAAGUUCGGUGUGAAAUCUCCCGGCUUAACUGGGAGGGUGCGCCGAAGACUGGGAAGCUGGAGUGUGGGAAAGGCAGGCGGAAUUCCUGGUGUAGCGGUGAAAUGCGUAGAUAUCAGGAGGAACACCGGCGGUGUAGACGGCUUGCUAGACCAUAACUGACGCUGAGGCACGAAAGCGUGGGUAGCAAACA
rnacentral:rRNA from 1 species